CACGUAGGGCGCAAGCGUUGUCCGGAAUUAUUGGGCGUAAAGCGUCCGCAGGUGGUUGUACAAGUCUGCUGUUAAAGCGUCCAGCUUAACUGGAUACAGGCAGUGGAAACUGUGCGACUAGAGUUUGGUAGGGGUCACGGGAAUUCCCAGUGUAGCGGUGAAAUGCGUAGAUAUUGGGAAGAACACCAGCGGCGAAAGCGCGUGACUGGGCCUGAACUGACACUCAUGGACGAAAGCUAGGGGAGCGAAAGGG
rnacentral:rRNA from 1 species